rnacentral:rRNA from 1 species
UACGUAGGGUGCAAGCGUUAAUCGGAAUUACUGGGCGUAAAGCGUGCGCAGGCGGUUUUGCAAGUCUGUCGUGAAAGCCCCGGGCUCAACCUGGGAAUUGCGAUGGAGACUGCAAGGCUUGAAUCUGGCAGAGGGGGGUAGAAUUCCACGUGUAGCAGUGAAAUGCGUAGAGAUGUGGAGGAACACCGAUGGCGAAGGCAGCCCCCUGGGUCAAGAUUGACGCUCAUGCACGAAAGCGUGGGGAGCAAACAGG